rnacentral:lncRNA from 1 species
GGAUCCCAGCAUGUUCACACAGUGAUGAGCACACCUGGCUUUCCCUUCUGCACACUCAUCAAUGUCUAAGCAGGACUUCUCAUCUGUAGAAAGAUAAUGCCCUGGGUGACAGUCACAUUUGGCAGUUCCUCUCUCAUUUUGACAGAUUUGUGAGCAUCCUCCAUUCCCACUUGUGCAGGGGUCUAUCAUCAAGCACGUGCGCCCAUCAGAGUGCAGCCUGUAUCCUGCCCAACAGUGGCAGUGGAAAGAGCUGUGGGUGUUGAUGCAGCCCUGCUGGCAGCCUCC